rnacentral:rRNA from 1 species
AGAGUUUGAUCCUGGCUCAGGACGAACGCUGGCGGCGUGCCUAACACAUGCAGGUCGAGCGGGCCUGUCAAGGCGUUAUGUUUUGGCAGGUUUAGCGGCGGACGGGUGAGUAACGCGUGAGCAACCUGCCCUUGAGACCGGGAUAACCCUGGGAAACUGGGGCUAAUACCGGAUACGCUCCCUCUAGGGCAUCCUGGAGGGAGGAAAGGUAGCGCAAGCUGCCGCUCAAGGAUGGGCCCGCGUCCCAUCAGCUAGUUGGUGAGGUAACGGCUCACCAAGGCGACGACGGGUAGCCGGCCUGAGAGGGUGGUCGGCCACACUGGGACUGAGACACGGCCCAGACUCCUACGGGAGGCAGCAGUGGGGAAUCUUGGGCAAUGGGCGAAAGCCUGACCCAGCGACGCCGCGUGGGGGAUGA